rnacentral:rRNA from 1 species
UAGGGAAUAUUAGAAAUGGACGAAAGUCUGAUCUAGCAACACCGCGUGUGCGAAGAAGGCCUUCGGGUCGUAAAGCACUUUUUGGAAGGAAUAGGAAGGAAUGUACUUCCAGAAUAAGUCUCGGCUAACUACGUGCGAGCAGCCGCGGUAACACGUAGGAGGCGAACGUUAUCCGGAUUUACUGGGCGUAAAGCGCGUGUAGGUGGUUCUGUAAGUAGGGCGUGAAAGCUCCUGGCUCAACUGGGAGAGGCCGUUCUAAACUACAGAACUAGAGGAUGGUAGAGGGAGGUGGAAUUCCAGGUGUAGCGGUGGAAUGCGCAGAUAUCUGGAGGAACACCAGUGGCGAAGGCGGCCUCCUGGACCAUUCCUGACACUCAGACGCGAAAGCUAGGGUAGCAAACG